rnacentral:rRNA from 1 species
AGAGUUUGAUCAUGGCUCAGAACGAACGCUGGCGGCGUGCCUAACACAUGCAAGUCGAGCGCGAACGGAGCAAUCCUAGUAGAGCGGCGCACGGGUGCGUAACACGUGGGUAAUCUGCCUGGGAGUCCGGGACAACCUUCCGAAAGGUUGGCUAAUACCGGAUAAGCCCACAGGAUCUUCGGAUCUCGUGGGAAAAGAUGGCCUCUGUUUACAUGCUAUCUCUCCUAGAUGAGCCCGCGGCCCAUCAGCUAGUUGGCGGGGUAAAGGCCCACCAAGGCAACGACGGGUAGCUGGUCUGAGAGGACGAUCAGCCACACUGGAACUGAGACACGGUCCAGACUCCUACGGGAGGCAGCAGUGGGGAAUUUUGCACAAUGGGCGAAAGCCUGAUGCAGCAACGCCGCGUGUGUGAUGAAGGUUUUCGGAUCGUAAAGCACUUUCGACCGGGAAGAAACCGCAUUGGCUAACAUCCAAUGCUCUGACGGUACCGGGAGAAGAAGCACCGGCUAACUCUGUGCCAGCAGCCGCGGUAAUACAGAGGGUGCAAGCGUUGUUCGGAAUUAUUGGGCGUAAAGCGCGUGUAGGCGGCUUUGCAAGUCGGGUGUGAAAUCCCUCAGCUCAACUGAGGAAGUGCGCCCGAAACUGCAGAGCUUGAGUACCGGAGAGGAUGGUGGAAUUCCCCAAGUAGAGGUGAAAUUCGUAGAUAUGGGGAGGAACACCGGUGGCGAAGGCGACCAUCUGGACGGAUACUGACGCUGAGACGCGAAAGCGUGGGGAGCAAACAGGAUUAGAUACCCCAGUAGUCC